GACGAACCACACGAACGUUAUUCGGAAUUACUGGGCUUAAAGGGUGCGUAGGCGGCGCGGUAAGUAGGGUGUGAAAUCCCUCGGCUCAACCGAGGAACUGCGCUCUAAACUACCGUGCUUGAGGGAGAUAGAGGUGAGCGGAACUUAGGGUGGAGCGGUGAAAUGCGUUGAUAUCCUAAGGAACACCGGUGGCGAAAGCGGCUCACUGGAUCUUUUUCUGACGCUGAGGCACGAAAAGCUAGGGUAGCGAACGGGG
rnacentral:rRNA from 1 species